CUUAGAUCUACAGGGUGGCCCAAAAGUAGGUUGCAGGUUGGCGGUACUUAGAUCUACAGGGUGGCCCAAACGUAGGUUUUACCGUUUUCACGUAGACUUUUGUUUGAAAAUUCGAAACAGUGGGAAACUUGAUCUACCUGUUCACAGAAACACAAACCUUUGAAUCUCUCAGAUGUUCAAAAUGUCCUCCAUCGACACUCCAACGGUCUUCAAAUCUCUAUAGGACAUUCUGACACACAGCUUUCUGUGAAUGCGAGCUGAAUGUUAUCUUUGAAAUUAUUUCUUGUUUUUUAGGGUUUCGUCUCAUAAACCUUGGUCUUAACGACACACACACACACAAAAAUAGGUGUUAACGUUAGGUAAACGUGAACGUCAGGUAGACGUGGUGGCCAUUUGAUGCUGCCCCUUCUUCAGAACCAACUGUAAACCAACUUUUGGGGCCACCCUGUGUAUGUAUGGAGCAUUUGGAUUCAAUUGUUGCGUCACAUUGUUUUGUCUUGUCAUGAUAAUGUAAUAGAACUUGAAUAUUGGAGACGUACUGCUCCCUGACUUAAUUCUCACAUACGUUAGGAUGUUAUACUAUGUAAUAAACAUGAAGUAGUAACCAUGGA